AGUAAGUGGAUCGCUCUGCUCACGAAGCGCACCCGUAUUGGAAAUCUGAAUCGCCCUGGGAUCCUAGAAGUCAUCACAAACUGGAGGAUACGAUCCAGGAG